rnacentral:rRNA from 1 species
AUGACAUUUUUUCUUGUUGAUUUCAUCAGAUGGUUAACAUUCCAAGCUUGUGCUUAUAGAGGCCAUGACGAAUCUCCGGGAUCAAGUAAUAAGGGUAAUUUUCUUCAUUUGGUGAGGUUCUUGGCUUCUUAUAGCAAAGAGGUGAAUGCGGUUGUUUUGGAAAAUGCUCCAAGGAAUGCGAAGUACACCUCCCAUACAGUGCAACUAGAAAUCCUCACAUUACUUUCUAGUAGAGUUAAGGAAAAAAUUAGAGAUGAAAUUGGUACUAGCAAGUUCUGCAUAAUGGUAGAUGAAGCACGAGAUGAAUCAAAGAAAGAGCAAAUGGCAUUGGUUCUUCGAUUCCCGAGCACCGAGGGGUUCAUACAGGAGCGUUUUCUUGAUGUAAUUCAUGUCACUGAUGUAGGGGAACGCAGCAGAAAACAAAAAAUUUCCGACCUACACACCAGCCCAGGACCACUAUGGAGACUGCAUACAUGGUUUGAUCUUUUUCGUUACCGACUCGUAGCGCAGCGGGAAGUAGAGUCGAUGACGAUCGGCGGUGCAGAUCCCCGCAGAUAG